rnacentral:rRNA from 1 species
AAUCUUGGACAAUUGGCGCAAGCCUGAUCCAGCCAUGCCGCGUCAGUGAAUAAGGCCUUCGGGUUGUAAAGCUCUUUUGGACGGAAAAAAAUCGCGCAGUUUAAUACCCUGUGCGGAUGACGGUACCGUCGUAAGAAGCCCCGGCUAACUACGUGCCAGUAGUCGUGGUAAUACGUAGGGUGCGAGUGUUAAUCGGAAUUACUGGGCGUAAAGCGUGCGCAGGCGGUUGAUUAAGACAGGCGUGAAAUCCCCGGGCUUAACCUGGGAACUGCGCUUGUGACUGGUCAGCUAGAGUACGGCAGAGGGGGGUGGAAUUCCACGUGUAGCAGUGAAAUGCGUAGAGAUGUGGAGGAACACCGAUGGCGAAGGCAGCCCCCUGGGCCGAUACUGACGCUCAUGCACGAAAGCGUGGGUAGCAAACAGG